AAUUGACACAACCAUGCAGAAAUUUUGGUCUGUGGAGGACUUGCCGCCCAAGGCUAAAGUCCAUACUCCUGAGCAACAACUCUGUCAACAACACUUUGAGAAAAAUACUCAAAGAUUGUCGUCCGGUAGAUUUUCGGUUCGUUUGCCGUUUAAAUCUGACCCAAAUACUCUUGGUUCGUCAUACGAAGUUGCGAAACGUAGAUUUUUGUCGCUAGAAAUUGUCAAAGGACCCUUCGCUGAAGAAGAUGUAUAUUGAAUUCAUGGAGGAAUAUGUUUCACUGGGCCACAUGUCCUCCACCAAUGACAAAAUUCCGAAUACUCCGCACUAUUUCAUUCCGCACCAAUGCGUUUUACGGCCACAAAGUACUUCAACUAAGUUGAGAGUAGUUUUCGAUGCAUCGAGCCGUACUUCUACGCAGGUAGCGUUGAAUGACAUCUUGAUGGUAGGCGCAACUAUUCAAGAGGAGCUGUACUCGACUCUGCUUCGGUUUAGACUGCAUAAGUUUGCCCUUGCGGCCGACGUCAAAAAGAUGUAUCGCCAAGUGAUGGUGGACGAAGCUGAUCGUAACUUCCAGCUCAUAGUAUGGAGACGAGAUCCUUCUGAGUCCCUGAAAAUCUUUAAGUUGAACACCGUUACAUAUGGAACUUCGCCAGCCCCCUUUUUGGCGAUUCGGUGUUUAAUGCGGCUAGGAGAGAUGGCGCAAGCAACUCAUCCAAAAGCCGCAAAGGUUAUUCAGAAUGAUUUUUAUGUUGACGAUUUGUUGACUGGCGCCGGAUGCGUUGAGGACCUGCAAAGCCUUCGAGACGAAGUUUCUCAGGUCUUGCAAGAGGCAGGCUUUGAAUUGGCAAAGUGGUUUUCAAACUGCCCAGAGUUAUCCGCAUCUGAUAGCGCUGUAAUACCACUUAUGGCAGACUCAGACGUAACCAAGACCCUUGGCGUGGUUUGGUUACCGGUUAAAGAUUACUUUCAAUUUCGGUUGGAUGACUCUUUCCUGGAUCUUAUUUUGUCGGUGACUGCUCGACUUUUCGACCCACUUGGCCUCUUGUGUCCUUUGGUCACAAAGGCAAAGAUGUUGUUGCAGGAACUGUGGCUUCGAAAAUUAGAUUGGGACGAGUCGCUACCGAUGCAGUUGCUCACGUCGUGGGAGACGUUUAAAGCGACGCUUCUGCAGCUGCCUAAAAUUAAGGUAUCGCGAUUCGUCAACACAGAUCCACAAGUCCCGAUUCAAAUACAUGGUUUCGCUGACGCUUCCAUGCGAGCGUAUGGAGCGAGCAUCUACGUUCGGACUCAAGCUGAAGGUUUGAAAGUGUCUUUAUUGACCGCCAAAUCGAAAGUAGCUCCCCUCAGGACGAAAACUUUGCCUCGCCUUGAGCUGUGUGCAGCUCACCUUUUAGCAGAUCUCUAUAAUCGUAUCAGGCCAUUGCUAAAUUCUCCCAUUGAGAAUGUUUUCCUGUGGACAGACUCCGAGAUCACUUUACACUGGUUAAAACCCAUCCCUCGUCGUUGUCGGUUUUUGUUUCGAACCGGGCUGCAGAAAUUCAGGAGUGGUCGGAGAAAGCAAUUUGGAGACACGUUCCCACGAAAGUCAACCCAGCAGAUAUAGUGUCCCGAGGAUGUGACGUAGAGGAGCUUACAACGUCCAUUUGGUUCAGUGGGCCUUGCUAGACUCAGAAAAUAAUUGGCCUGUAAAUAAACAUUUCGAACUGCCGGCUGAUGUAAUGUCGAUGGAGCUACGCAAAUCGGCAAUAGCUCUCGUAGUCAGCCCAGAGCCAAAUUAUGUGCUUCAGAAAAUAGAGUCCUUGUCGUCGCACCUGAAGCUUCUGAGAGUUUUCGUGUGGGUUUUUCGUUUUAUUCAAAGGUGCAGAAAGGUGUCGAAGCCCUUUGAAAAAAGUAUUUCGCCAAGAGAACUGGAUUUCGCUGUUGAUAAAAUUAUCGAAGUUGUCCAAUCGCUGUAAGCCGCAACUUUUGACGCAAAUUAUGGGAAACUUGCCAGCAAAUAGACUUCGAGCUCUCCGCCCGUUCAAUAUUUGUGGCGUUGAUUUUUGUGGUCCCUUCAGCACAACGUAUCGUAUCCGUGGUAAGCCACCGUACAAGUCGUACGUGGCCUUGUUCGUCUGUUUUUGCGUCCAAAGCGGUCCACUUAGAAUUAGUGUCUGACCUAAACACUGAUGCUUUCUUGUUGGCAUUUCAAAAGUUCGUGAGUCGUCGCGGGAUUCCGGAGAAGGUGUGGUGCGACAACGCCACCAAUUUCGUCGGCGCAGAUCGCCACAUGAGAGAGUUCCGAGCCCGUCUGGAGGAGCAGGGGGGCGGUAUCAAAACAUUCGCAUCAAAAAAAGGAUGCGAGUUUGCGUUCAUACCGCCCAGAGCACCGCACUUCGGCGGACUAUGGGAGGCAGGUGUGAAGUCUGCAAAGCACCUGUUCCUUCGGACGGUAGGCCAAGACCUCUUGACCGCAGAGGAGCUCGGAACUUUGCUCACCAGCGUGGAGGCCGUGCUCAACUCCAGGCCCCUCGGCGCUCUAAGCAGCGACCCGAACGACGGCGAGGCCCUGACCCCCGGGCAUCUGCUCAUCGGCGGCCCUCUUCUGGCCCCACCAUCUGCGGCACUCCCGGACCAGAUCAGCCUGACCAGCUUGCGACGAUGGCGAGGUGUCUCGUCUCUCAGGCACAGGUUUUGGCAGCGAUGGUCCCGGGAGUACAUCUCCAGCCUCCAGCAGCGGUCCAAGUGGCACCAGGGGGAGCCCAACCUCGUCGUGGGAGCGCUCGUCGUCGUCGCAGAAGACAACCUUCCGCCCCAGCAGUGGAGGAUCGGACGAGUGGUAGCGGUGCACGCCGGCGCCGAUAGCAAGAUUCGCGUGGCGGACGUCAGGACGCAGGACGGCGAAUAUCGGCGAGCUGUCCACCGACUGACCCUGUUGCCCGUUCUGGGCUGAAGGACGUCGUCCCUUCAGAGGGGGCGGUGUUUGCGCACUCAGCCCAAUAAAGCUUUCGUCUGUUCGCUCUUGCGAAUUCGCCCCGUCUCUCGCCACCGUAGCAUAAGUUAGGUUCUAAGAGAAAUUAUUGAAAUAUAAUUGUUAGUGAUCAAUCGAACGUCAUCGUAGCCACUCCUUUUCGUCGCGCUUUCGACAUAGUUUUCACAAAGUUUCGCAAAUUAAAAUCGUCUCGAACUACUGCGUUCACAAAGUUUUCGCGUUAUUAAUACA